AAAAACUAGAGGCUCUAAAGAGCCUGUGUCGCUCACCUUGGUCUAUGUGAAUAUUAAAGGAAGCAGAUAGAUUCAUGACAAAAUUGUGUUUUGGUGAUGGUGAUGUGUUUGUACAUCUUACUUUACUGAACAUUCUUGCUGCUUAAAAUUAUCUCUAUCUAUAAUGAACUUGGCCCAUUAGUUUCAGUGGAAAAUGUUAGUAAAAAUUUACAAAUUUUAUGAAAAUUUAAAAAUUGACUAUAAAGAACAAUAACUCUAAGGGGGUCAAUUGACCAUUUCGGUCAUGUUGACUUAUUUGUAAAUCUUACUUUGCUGACAUUUAUUGUU
rnacentral:lncRNA from 1 species